UUAAGCAACCCAUAUAAAUAACCUAUGGGCUAAAAAGAAACUGUAACCAAAAUUAGAAAAUAUUUUGAACUUAAUAAUAAUAAUAAGCCACAUCAAAAGUCAUGAGAUGCGUCCAGGUGCAGUGGCUCAUGCCCUUAAUCCCAGCACUUUUGGGAUGCCGAGGUGGGCAGAUCACUUUGAGGCCAGGAGUUUGAGACCAGCCUGGCCAAAGUGGCAAGACUUUGUCUCUACUAAAAAUACAAAAAAUUAAGCUGGGUGUGGUGGCUCACGCCUAUAAUCCCAGCUACUCAGGAGGCUGAGGCUUGAGAAUUGCUUGAACCUGGUAGGUGGAGGUUACAGUGAGCUGAGAUCAUGCCACUGCACUCCACCUUCGAGGACAGAGAGACUCUGUCUCAAAAAAAAAAAAAAAAAAAAAAAAUAGGCUGGGCGCUGUGGCUUAUGCCUACAAUCCCAGCACUUUGGGAGGCUGAGGCGGGAGGAUCACGAGGUCAAGAGAUUGAGACCAUCCUGGUCAACAAGGUGAAACCCCGCCUCUACCAAAAAUACAAAAAAUUAGCUGGGCAUGGUGGUGUGCACUUGUAGUCCCAGCUACUCAGGAGGCUGAGGCAGGAGAAUUGCUUGAACCCAGAAGGUGGAGGUUGCAGUGAGCCAAGAUCAUGCCAUUGUACUCCAGUCUGAGUAACAACAGUGAAACUCCGUCUCAAAAAAAAAAAAUAAUAAUUAAUUAAUGAGAUGCAGCUAAAGUGGUGUUUAGAGGGAAAUCUAUAUCCUUUAGCAUGUGUUAGUAAAAAAUGGCUAAAAUUCAUUAUCUAGAAUUUCAUCUCAGGAAGUUAGAAUAUCAACAUCCAUUGUUUAGCUCCCACUUACCAGUGAGUCCAUGACAUGGUAUUUGAUUUUCUGUUUCUGCAUUAAUUCAUUUAGGAUAAUGGCCUCUAGCUGCAACCACAUUGCUGCAAAGGACAUCAUUUUGUUCUUUUUUAUAGCUGUAUAGUAUUCCAUAGUGUAUACACACCAUAUUUUCUUUAUCCAAUCUAUUGUUAAUGGACGCUUAGGUUGAUUUCAUGCCUUUGCUGUUGUGAUUAGUGCUGUGAUAAACAUACUAGUGCAGGUGUCUUUUUGAUAAAACUAUUUCUUUUCCUUUGGGUAGAUAGCUCCAGUAGUGGGGUUGCUGAGUUGCAUGGUAGUUCUAUUUUUAAUUCUUUGAGAAAUCUCCAGAAUAUUUUCUAUGGAGAUUUAACUAAUUUACAUUCCCACCAAUACGUUAGCUUAUGUUUGAAUUUUUCCACAAUAAAAUUUUCAAAAGGAGAGACACUAUAAAAGAGGGAAAAGGCAAACCACAAAGAAGACAUACAUAACACAUAGCACCAGAAAAGGGGACUACAUCUGAAAUAUAGAAAGAAUCCCUACAAAUCAAUAAGAAAGAGAAAGAUAACUCAAUAGAAUAAUUAGCAAGAACAUAAAGUAGUAGCACAAAAGAAGAUACCUAAAUGGUUAAUAAAUAUAUGAAAAGGAGGCCAAUUGAAUUCAUAAUCAAGGACUUAGAAAUUAAAGACACCAAUUAAAUAAUACACAUACAAUGAUACACAUACUUUAUCUUUUGUGCAAAUAUGUAUAUAAACUGGAGUUAGAGUACCUCAAGUUCUGUGCCAAUAUCAAAAUAACAUUAGCCUAGAAUAGCUACAAUUUAAAACACUCAAAAAUCCCAAGUAUGGUUGAGGAUGGGGUGAAACAGCAACUCUUAGGUACAGCUGAUUGGAGGAAAUAUUGGUACAACUAAUUUGGAAGACAGUUUGGUAGUGUCUACCAAAUUUGAGUAUAUGCCUACGCCUAUGACCCAACAAUUCCAUUCCUAGGUAUAUAUCCACCAAAAGUGUGUGUGUGUAAAAAAUGUAUCUGCAAAAGACAAGUAAUAAUAUUGAUAAUAACAUAGUAACAUUCUUCAGAAUAGUCUCACAAAACUGGAAACUACUGAGAUGUCCAACAGUAGAAUGAAUAAAUAAAUUGUAGUGUAUUUGUACAAUAGAAUAGCAUACAACAAAGAAAUAUAAGGAAUUUUUGCUACAUACCUCAAUUGACUACAUGUUAAAACCUAAUAUUGACCAAGAGAAGCCACCCCCGCGCAACAUACAAUGUGAUUUCAUUUAAAUAGCAUUCAAAACUGAGCAAAACAAAUCCAUGGUGACAUAAGUAAGAAGAGAAGUGACAUUUGAGGAGAAGGGGCGGAUAUUGACUGGCCAGUGACAGGACAGGGCUUUGGGGUUAGGGUAAUACUUCAUUUCCAGACCUACGUAGUGAUCACAGAGGUGCAUGCACUUUGUGAGUCCCCCAUCCAACUUUCAAACUGUACCCUUGGCUUUUUUGUAUUUUUCUCUAUCUAUGCUGAAUUUCAACAAAAGAUGUCUAUUACAACAAAAGAGUGAUAUAAACUUGGAGAGAGAGUUCUGAUAAAUGAAAAGGCCAUUUUAGUGCAUAGAAUUAUGGAGGAAAUGUUUUAAAAUCUUGCUUUAAUUUGGUUGUUACAAUAAAUUCAAUUUGAGUGGGAAGAAAAGUAAUUAACAUUUGUUCAAAUACAGAUAUAAACUGGAGAUGGAGGCCCUUAAGUUCUGUGCCAGGACCAUAAUAAUUUCAACUGGAAAAAAUUUUUGAAGCUGGUGUUAUAAACAUUCCACCACAGCCCAAAGAAGAAUCUUACUCAAAGAGCUGUGAACUUCUAAUUUUGAACAAUAUAACUUCCAGGCACACCCUCCUAUACUGACGUAAUGGAAUGAGGUUUAAUGCAACAUUACUCACAACAGCGAAGAUAUGGAAUCUACCUAUGUGUCCAUCGACAGAUGAAUGAAUAAAGAAAAUGUGCUAGAGGAGAGGAUAUUGAAUGUACUUAACAAGAAGAAAUGAUGCUGGACACGAUGGUUCAUACCUGUAAUCCUAGCCCUUUGGGAGGCCGAGGCAGGAGGAUUACGUGAGCCCAGAAGUUCAAGACCAGCCUGGCCAACAAGGUGACACUACAUCUCUACUAAAAGUAAAAAAAAUAAUAGUCAGGCAUGGUGGCCCAUGCCUGUGGUCCCAGCUACUCAGGAGGCUGAGGUGGGUGGAAUGUUGGAGCCCGGGAGUUGGAGGCUGCAGCGAGCUGUGUUUGUGCCACUGCACUCCAGG